rnacentral:sRNA from 1 species
AACACUCGAUCACUACACAAAAUCACGAU